rnacentral:rRNA from 1 species
UGGGGAAUUUUGGACAAUGGGCGAAAGCCUGAUCCAGCAAUGCCGCGUGUGUGAAGAAGGCCUUCGGGUUGUAAAGCACUUUUGUCCGGAAAGAAAUCCUUGGCUCUAAUACAGUCGGGGGAUGACGGUACCGGAAGAAUAAGCACCGGCUAACUACGUGCCAGCAGCCGCGGUAAUACGUAGGGUGCAAGCGUUAAUCGGAAUUACUGGGCGUAAAGCGUGCGCAGGCGGUUUGCUAAGACCAAUGUGAAAUCCCCGGGCUCAACCUGGGAACUGCAUUGGUGACUGGCAGGCUAGAGUAUGGCAGAGGGGGGUAGAAUUCCACGUGUAGCAGUGAAAUGCGUAGAGAUGUGGAGGAAUACCGAUGGCGAAGGCAGCCCCCUGGGCCAAUACUGACGCUCAUGCACGAAAGCGUGGGGAGCAAACAGGAUUAGAUACCCUGGUAGUCCACGCCCUAAACGAUGUCAACUAGUUGUUGGGGAUUCAUUUCCUUAGUAACGUAGCUAACGCGUGAAGUUGACCGCCUGGGGAGUACGGUCGCAAGAUUAAAACUUAAAUGAAUUGACGGGGUCAUAGCUGUUUCCU